GAGGGUAUAGCUCAAGUGGUAGAGAGCAUGCUUAGCAUGCACAAGGUCCUGGGUUCAAUCCCCAGUACCUCCU
rnacentral:tRNA from 1 species